rnacentral:rRNA from 1 species
AUUGAACGUUGGCGGCAGGCCUAACACAUGCAAGUCGAGCGGAUGAAGGGAGCUUGCUCCUGGAUUUAGCGGCGGACGGGUGAGUAAUGCCUAGGAAUCUGCCUGGUAGUGGGGGAUAACGUCCGGAAACGGGCGCUAAUACCGCAUACGUCCUGAGGGAGAAAGUGGGGGAUCUUCGGACCUCACGCUAUCAGAUGAGCCUAGGUCGGAUUAGCUAGUUGGUGGGGUAAAGGCCUACCAAGGCGACGAUCCGUAACUGGUCUGAGAGGAUGAUCAGUCACACUGGAACUGAGACACGGUCCAGACUCCUACGGGAGGCAGCAGUGGGGAAUAUUGGACAAUGGGCGAAAGCCUGAUCCAGCCAUGCCGCGUGUGUGAAGAAGGUCUUCGGAUUGUAAAGCCCUUUAAGUUGGGAGGAAGGGCAGUAAGUUAAUACCUUGCUGUUUUGACGUUACCAACAGAAUAAGCACCGGCUAACUUCGUG